AUCGGAAUAGCUGUGUUCACAAUAUCAGAAAAAUAUAAUAAAUACUAAAUUGCGGAAUCAUAAUCCGCGUGUCGGGAGUUCAAGUCUCUCCUCCGCUACCA
rnacentral:tRNA from 1 species